CUCAAUGUCCAGCACCUCAGUCACGCGGCAGAAGGUGGGCGCGUCCUGCCCGACCGAUUCAAUCCGCCCGCCAUGCGGCGCCGCGGGGUUAGGCGUCACGUAUAAAUUACACCAGGCUACUAUGCCGUCGAGCUGCUCUACGAUGUAAGCCAGAACGGUCGACUCGUCCUGUUGGCUCUCCAGAAGCUUGUCCGUGUUGGAGGAGAGGAUCGACCGCGCCUGAGGACAUAUAAAGGGCACGACCAGACGACCGACGGAGCGACGCAAAUCCCUGCUUUGAAAGCCCAGAAAUCUUCACGGUGAACAAGUUUACAUCUAGGGAGUUUCAGGCUAACAGGUGUGACAUCGGGUGCACUAGCGGUUUGGUCAUGAACUGCCCAAAGGAUGCGUUGUACCGGUCUUUAACAGAAACAACAGUAUACCUCAGACAUCAUGACGUUUUUGUCCAGCUUUCCCCCAAUGGCCGCUUUGAGACUCCGUUGCAGCAGCUCAUGCAGCAUGCUGCCCAUGAGGGCCUUCUCCCCGCCUGCGAUGCUCGCCACGCGAUCCUGCAACCACGCUUGGCGCGUGCAGCGGAUCGUUGUGCAUACGCUGGUCCCUGCAUUGGAGGACCGUGGGGUAUUCACCUCUAGUUGCAUAGGCACAGAAAUAUACGAUGUAGUCCCAUACGGGGUGUGGAAGGCGUGGCUCACCUGACAGUAGGACAUCGGGGUGAAGGAUGAGCAGACCCUCCGUCGCACUGACUUCUACGGUCAUGCACGCCGGACUUGGCAGCGUUCGCCCGCCGAUUACGUUGACCGUGUCCCCCGGCACAAUCUCCUGGUCCGCCCACAUGUCCC
rnacentral:lncRNA from 1 species